UGGGGAAUAUUGCACAAUGGGCGCAAGCCUGAUGCAGCCAUGCCGCGUGUUGUGAAGAAAGGCCUUCGGGUUGUAAAGCACUUUCAGCGGGGAGGAAGGCGGUGAGGUUAAUAACCUCAUCGAUUGACGUUACCCGCAGAAGAAGCACCGGCUAACUCCGUGCCAGCAAGCCGCGGUAAUACGGAGGGUGCAAGCGUUAAUCGGAAUUACUGGGCGUAAAGCGCACGCAGGCGGUCUGUCAAGUCGGAUGUGAAAUCCCCGGGGCUCAACCUGGGAACUGCAUUCGAAACUGGCAGGCUAG
rnacentral:rRNA from 1 species